CCCAGUGUUCAGACUACCUGUUCAGGUCGAUGCUAUUGUACAGUAGUCUGCACAUUGGUUA
rnacentral:pre_miRNA from 1 species